UACGUAGGGUGCGAGCGUUGUCCGGAAUUACUGGGCGUAAAGAGCUCGUAGGUGGUUUGUCGCGUUGUUCGUGAAAACCGGGGGGCUUAACCCCUCGGCGUGCGGGCGAUACGGGCAGACUGGAGUACUGCAGGGGGAGACUGGAAUUCCUGGUGUAGCGGUGGAAUGCGCAGAUAUCAGGAGGAACACCGGUGGCGAAGGCGGGUCUCUGGGCAGUAACUGACGCUGAGGAGCGAAAGCGUGGGGAGCGAACAGG
rnacentral:rRNA from 1 species